UAUUUGUCCAUCUAGCAAAAGCAAGAAUCUCAUUCCAGGAUAUGAGAGGUAUUUUUCUGACUUGGAUUAGGGGAAUCCACUAGCUGCGUAGCGUUGAGACUUGAGAGCUUCGCCCUCUCAUUCUCAUGGAAGAUUCUCAGGUUUUAAUUGAAUGUUAACUAUACCACGGAUAGUAGAAGGGGACAUGAAACAUUGUUUUAAUUGGCUGUAUUUGGAGAAUGUAGAGGAAGAUUCUGUUGACUGGAGCACCAGGAAGCUUUGGAAUUGGAUACAAAAUAAGAAAAAGGAAAAAAAAAUGGUAGAAAGAUGCUUGUCCUUGGACAUUGUUUGAAGGCAAGGAAUGGAAUAAGGAAUACAUUCUCUUUUGUUUCCUUCAGUAAGUUUGGUACUUGUUCAGCCCACAUAGUAUAAAAUAGAAGCGGGGCCCAAUUCUUUUCAUCUUCAAUUGGCAUAAGACAGCCGGCACUGCACCGAUUAAUCCUAAGCAUCUGGGACCCAAUUAAAAGAAAAGAGAAGGAUUGUACUUGCUUCCAUACUAACAUUUGAUGAAGGAAAAGACAAUCCUUGCCCUGGACAUGACUACCUGCCCUUGACUGCUCCGUUGGCCAGUUUCUCCUGUAUGAAUCUACACUCAUAUUUCACCACUUGAUUAUUGAUUUAUGUUCUUUUAAUUUCAGUCUUUUCUAAUAUUUUUGUCAAGACUCUUAGCAUUGCUAUCUUUAUAACUUGUCACUGAAUGAUUAUAUGAACAGAUUAUCUCAUUCUUGUUAUAUUCUAUAA